rnacentral:snRNA from 1 species
GGAUGUGAGAGCGAUCUGCUUGCAACAUCUGUCACUCCAUUGAUCGCCAGGGUUGAUUGGGCUGAUCUGGCUGGCUAGGCACAUGUCCCCUUCCCCGCUCAGUGCUCCAUGUGCAUCCCUCCAGAGGCUGUGCAUUCAGUCCAAGAGGACAACCACCCCCAUAGAGGAGGACUGUUCCUCAGUCAAAGGUAUACAAGUAGCUGAGCUCCCCUGCUGGAACCUCCGAACAAGUUCUCAAAAAAGAAAACAUUAGAAUCAACAAUGUUUUCCUGCCUGAUUAAGAUUAAGAAAAUACUACCUUAUC